CUGAUUACAACCAUGGAAUAAUCCAGAGAAAUUGAAAGAAAAAUCAAAGCAAACUACCAAAUUUCCUUCCUGGUCGGGAGAGGAGAAGCUUCCCAAUUGUUGACUUUUGCACAGGGCCCAACAAAUUACACAUAUGCCUUGCUAGAGCCCUCUUCUGCUUCUACCUCAUUCACAUUUUCAAACAACUUUUUGAACCUUUCAAGCAAUUCCUUAUCAGGACCAACCACAAGACUAGGACUAAUUAUGGUUGGGCAGUUCUUGGUGCCGGGCCUCACAAAUGAUCUGAAGAGACGCAACACAUGUUUAGGGAGAACCUAUGCUUUCUCUUUCUUGUUUGGCUCUCUUUAUGUUUGCAAUCAUGGGCUAGAACCCCAAACCAAAGGUGCGCAUGUUUUUGAGGAGAUAUAUCGGUUUUACGAUACCUUGAAAUGAGCCCCCCAAACCCUUACCUGGAACAAAACCAUUUCUCAACAUGUCAACAGCCACCAGGACUGAUGCAGCGACUAUCUUUGGCAUUGGAACACACUCCCCUUCCGGAAUUUUCUUCACAAAUACUGCAUCAUAAACUUGAUAUACCCAAGGCCCGUUGUCUUCAUCAGCCUCAAUGAAUGGAACAAUAGCAUCACUGUGAGCAUAACGAUUGUCCUCCCGUGCACAACUAUUUCCUGUCUGUCCCAUUCAAAUUUCACCAUUUGAUGCAAAGUAGAGGGAAUCGCUUUAGUGGCAUGGACCCAAGGUCGCCCCAGUGGCGGAUUAUAAGAGACAACCACAUCUAGCACCUGGAAUUCCAUGUAAAAUAAAAUGGUCUGAU
rnacentral:lncRNA from 1 species